rnacentral:tRNA from 1 species
AGCCUCGUGGUGAAGAUACAUGUUGGAUUGCAAAUCCAGAGACGUAGAUUAAUAGUCUGCCGGGGCUU